rnacentral:rRNA from 1 species
AACGAACGCUGGCGGCAUGCCUAACACAUGCAAGUCGAACGAGAUCUUCGGGUCUAGUGGCGCACGGGUGCGUAACGCGUGGGAAUCUGCCCUUUGGUUCGGUAUAACAGUUGGAAACGACUGCUAAUACCGGAUGAUGACGAAAGUCCAAAGAUUUAUCGCCAGAGGAUGAGCCCGCGUAGGAUUAGCUAGUUGGUAUGGUAAAGGCGCACCAAGGCGACGAUCCUUAGCUGGUCUGAGAGGAUGAUCAGCCACACUGGGACUGAGACACGGCCCAGACUCCUACGGGAGGCAGCAGUGGGGAAUAUUGGACAAUGGGCGAAAGCCUGAUCCAGCAAUGCCGCGUGAGUGAUGAAGGCCUUAGGGUUGUAAAGCUCUUUUACCCGGGAUGAUAAUGACAGUACCGGGAGAAUAAGCUCCGGCUAACUCCGUGCCAGCAGCCGCCGUAACAC